GCUUAGGUGGCUUAGUCAGUUAAGCGUCUGACUUCAGCUCAGGACAUGAUCUCCUGGUUUGUGAGUUCGAGCCCCACGUUGGGCU
rnacentral:tRNA from 1 species